rnacentral:rRNA from 1 species
UUGACCCUGGCUCAGGACGAACGCUGGCGGCGUGCCUAAUACAUGCAAGUCGAGCGGAAUGAUGAAGAAGCUUGCUUCUUCUGAUUUUAGCGGCGGACGGGUGAGUAACACGUGGGCAACCUACCUUGUAGAUUGGGAUAACUCCGGGAAACCGGGGCUAAUACCGAAUAAUCCAUUUUGCUUCAUGGCGAAAUGUUGAAAGGCGGCUUCGGCUGUCACUACGAGAUGGGCCCGCGGCGUAUUAGCUAGUUGGUAGGGUAAUGGCCUACCAAGGCGACGAUACGUAGCCGACCUGAGAGGGUGAUCGGCCACACUGGGACUGAGACACGGCCCAGACUCCUACGGGAGGCAGCAGUAGGGAAUCUUCCACAAUGGACGAAAGUCUGAUGGAGCAACGCCGCGUGAGUGAAGAAGGUUUUCGGAUCGUAAAACUCUGUUGUAAGGGAAGAACACGUACGAGAGUAACUGCUCGUACCUUGACCGGUACCUUAUUAGAAAGCCACGGCUAA